rnacentral:rRNA from 1 species
UAGGGAAUAUUGGACAAUGGGUGAGAGCCUGAUCCAGCCAUGCCGCGUGCAGGAAGAAGGCGUUAUGCGUUGUAAACUGCUUUUUGCCAGGGGAUAAAAAGACCGUGCGCGGUUAAUUGAAGGUACCUGGUGAAUAAGCCACGGCUAACUACGUGCCAGCAGCCGCGGUAAUACGUAGGUGGCAAGCGUUGUCCGGAUUUAUUGGGUUUAAAGGGUGCGUAGGUGGCCCUGUAAGUCAGUGGUGAAAUAUCUCAGCUUAACUGAGAGGGUGCCAUUGAUACUGCAGGGCUUGAGUACAGAUGAGGUAGGCGGAAUUUCCUGUGUAGCGGUGAAAUGCGUAGAUAUAGGAAGGAACACCAGUGGCGAAGGCGACCACCUGGACUGAUACUGACACUGAGGUGCGAAAGCGUGGGGAGCAAACAGGAUUAGAUACCCAUGUAGUCCCUGAGCGGGCUGGCAAGGCGCAU